CUGUAUGUGUAUGUUAUUUAUGUAUGUAUGUAUGUGUUUGUGUGUGUUAGUGUAGAUUUAUAAUAUAUGAGAUUUGAUAGUUUUAUAUUGUAGAUUUUCAGCGAAGUUUUAAAAUCAAUGAUCGCAUAGGCAGAUUUUCAGAUAUUUAUAUAAAACUUGCACCAUUAUGUGUACUACAUCUCUUGUAUUUCUUCAUCCCUCUUUAUUUAUUCAUUACAAUAUUUUUGAGUCUUUUUGAGUGUGAUCAGAUGAUUAUUGUGUACUGCACUUGCUAUGAAAAUUAUUAUAUUUCUGUGACUUUCUUUGAAGAUUUUUUACUAUAGACUUUAGACAUUUACCUUUGACUGUACAUAUAGACUAACCAGAUUUACUAAAAUUACUAGAUUAUGCCUCUAUGUAUCUUUCCUGUUUUUCCAAUUCCUGUUCAACUUGAUAUAUGAUUUUCUACUGCAUUUACCUCAGAACCUUUAUGAGAAGAUAACAUGAUCCCAUUGAAUAUCUGCAUCAUUUAGGGUUAUUCAAGGAUCAAUAGGCAACUUCCAAAUGGUAACCAGUUCUUAUGCAUGAGUGUCUACAACAUUUUUCAAGCCCUUCACUACAGAAUGUAUGGACUUGAUCACAUACAGUACAACUUUAACCGUUCUUUUGCUUAGAUGCAACCAAACUUUUCCAACUAGUAAAUCGAUACUAAGUUGCAGGUGAAGCGAGGGUAACCCUGCUACCUCACCUUGGCUUAUCUUGAGCUAACUUCACACUAACUUGUUGAGCCGUUCACACCUCCUUGAGGCAGUGCUGGAGAUGUUGACACUGCCCAGCAUCCCCAUGGACUUGUUGAGGCCAGUGGCAGGCCUCAGACUACCUAAGGCUCAUACAGCCCUUACUACCACCCAAGGGGGAAUGGACCUAAGGGCAAGGGGCGGGAGCAGCAGAGGAGAGGGACCAGACACAUCCAAACCACCACAGUCCACACAAACUCACAUCUCAUGUCUGGCAGAUGCCUUUCUCCUAUAAUAGAACAAACAUGUUCAAAACUGCCCCCAGUACUUCAAAAAAUUGUGGAGUCAGGACAUCCACCAAUAGCUGCCUACUGAUGCUUGUUGUUGACACUGACAUUCGUCAUUAACACCUGUUCAAAAGUUCCUUGUAUUUGAAUGCUCAAGUAGUGUCACAUUAGAUGUGUCAGUCAGACACAAUUAUUUACAUUGUUUUGGUUAAGGUUCUUAUGGAAAUGUUAGGCUUAGUUUGUUUUCUGAUAUUCUUUCUUAAGAAGACAAAAAAGAGUGCCAUCAAAUAUUUUGUUUGAAUGGUAAUAUGAUCUCAUCUAAUGAACAGAUUAUGUCAUCUGAAUGAGAAAAUUACAUGUUUAAUGACUGUUUUUGUUAUUUUCUAGUUUUUGUUUGUUUACUUUGUGUGUUUAGUCUUGAACUGCUGCAUUACUUUUUUUUUUUUUACUGACUCAUUAACAGAAUGUAGACAGCUUUAGUUUUGUCAGACACUAAACCUGACACAGCUUUAACAUGAUCUUGUUCAUUUCCUGAGUUAUCACUCUUGUCUUUCAUACCUCAGUUAUUUGUGUGCUAACCUAUCAAUAAAUACUGAAUGUGC
rnacentral:lncRNA from 1 species